AAAGGUGGUCGACCAUCGUAGAAAUAUGGGUGGAGUCGGGUUACUGUAGAAAUCUAUCCUUGGGGAAGUUCGGCCAUGGAUGAAGUCUGAGAAAUUCGGAUUAGAAUCUAUCAUGGCUGGAAGAGAUCUGGAAGAGGUCCAGAGAAUGGUCGAUCAUUGUAGAAGGUCGGUAGAUAGUGAAGCCCAAAGAGCAUUUGAAGCAGUCCGAUGGAUGACUGAAGAAGUUCAUCAUUGGAGAAGUCCAGAAGGGCGUUAUAUAGCUCAGACAGUUGGGGGAGUUUAGAAAAGCGUCGCACC
rnacentral:lncRNA from 1 species